rnacentral:rRNA from 1 species
CCUACGGGAGGCAGCAGUGGGGAAUAUUGCACAAUGGGCGAAAGCCUGAUGCAGCGACGCCGCGUGAGGGAUGACGGCCUUCGGGUUGUAAACCUCUUUCAGUAGGGAAGCGGUACCUGCAGAAGAAGCGCCGGCUAACUACGUGCCAGCAGCCGCGGUAAUACGUAGGGCGCAAGCGUUAUCCGGAAUUAUUGGGCGUAAAGAGCUCGUAGGCGGUUUGUCGCGUCUAUCGUGAAAGUCCGAGGCUCAACCUCGGAUCUGCGGUGGGUACGGGCAGACUAGAGUGAUGUAGGGGAGACUGGAAUUCCUGGUGUAGCGGUGAAAUGCGCAGAUAUCAGGAGGAACACCGAUGGCGAAGGCAGGUCUCUGGCAUAACUGACGCUGAGGAGCGAAAGCAUGGGGAGCGAACAGGAUUAGAUACCCUUGUAGUC